GGUACUUUAAGCUGUAUAUAUGAGGAGUUAAUAGCAUAGCAUUUCUUUCCUUUGCAUCAGAGACAUUCCGCGGGGGAAUUGCGUUGGAUCAAGCAGCGCCAACUGCAGCAUAAUGAUCGGCAGAAAUAAAAGCCAGGAUCUGAGAAAAUAAUAUGAACGUGAUUAGCAUUGGCUGUGUCUGUCACCUAUCCAAUCUGUGAGUGCAGGCCACUGCCAAGAGCCUCCCAGUACCAGUAGAAGAUAUCCUAAUUUUAACCUUACUACUUCCACCACAUUGCCAAGAGGAAGGACAUGGUUUGUUUACUAUGGAAUGCUGCAUAUAAGGACAUGUAGGUUUUUAAGUUUCUUCAUGAUGGACACUGAGAUGAAGUGCCUGAUGAGGAAGCUCCUGGGAAAGGUUGUCCGCAGACAGGCCAUUGCAGCUGCAAGAGAUGAGACACAUAGACAUCAACAUAGGAGUUAGGCUUAAAACCAGACAGUACAUGAACAUGUACCUACAAUAGACAUCUGCCAAAUUCUUUAGUUGAGUUUCAGGGAAAUGAAACAAAAUAAAAUCUAAAAAAGGAUAUUUAGAAUACAACCUACAUUCACAGCCAAUAACAGGGGCGUAGCUGGGCCUAUUUAGAAGUAUAGGCCCACGUGGUAGGGGGGGGUUGGGGGCCCUCCCCCUAGAGUUUUUUAAACUAUAGAUCCGAUAUGGUGCGAUUUGGCAUAUAUCUGGAGCCUUUUUAGUCUUCAAAAUUGUUUCAGUUUUGUGUUACGUAUGAUUUACAAAAACAGAACUGAAAUACAAAGGUUGAUGCUAACUUGUCAAAAAAGCUUCAAAAUAGAAAAUAUGUUUGUAAUGCUGAAUGGUUAAACAAGCGUGUCCAGUUGGUAUAUCGAGUGUCUUUAAAUGAAAUCCAAGUUCAUGCAUUUGACUGAAGCAAAUGUGUUUAUGAUUUUAUUUAUGUCUAUCGCAACAUCGCGAUGAAUAUGGAGGACGCCAAGUGAGGAUAGCCUCUCGCCGGUCAGUGUAGAACAAAGGUAUGUCUUGAUGCGACUCAUGGAACUGAAGGAGCGCUCACAUGAGGCGGAUGUGGCAGGCAUUGUCAGCAGUAUCUGCAGUAUAGUGUAUAUUCAGGGAUAAGCUGCCUCCGAUGUCUUGUUGAGUGUCGCCAGCAGUGUCGAAGGCUUUGUAUUUUUCAGCUGUCAUCGCAGAUUCCACCUUCUUACUUCCUCGCUGAACUCUUGCCGAGUCUUGGGCAUGUCCGGUUCAUAUGCCUCGUAGAUCCUGUCCACAUUGGCCGGCUGGAGACCUUCAAAUUUGGUCGGAUUUAAACACUGAGCCUGGAAGUGCUCUUCAUUCUUUAGGAUACAAGUAUCCAUUUCUUGAAGCAGGUGGUCAAUGUAGAAGAGGGAAACCGUCCAAUACCGACCGGGGUCCUGUACAUCAUAGUUCACCCUGUUUCUCUCUCUUGCUGCUUGUCUUGGCACUGCUGGGUCAAUCUAGGUAAAACAAAAAUAAAACAUUCAAUCGAUAUUAAAAUACAGCCGAAUCCAUUAAACUGUUCUAGGUAGAAGAAUGCAAAAUACCUAAUAGAAGUUUACCUCGUAUAUCUGAAUAUGGAUCUCGAUGCAUUUCGAACUGUUACAAAAACGUUUUUUAUCAUUUAUUUGUGUUCCGUUGCAUUGUAAAUUAUUGCGUUAAGACGAUUUGCUAAAUGCACCAGUGGAUCAAUGCAUGUAUUUAUUGGCAACCACAUAAAAUCAACAUGCAAACACAGGUGGUGGUGUUAGUAGUUUAUACUCCGGGUCCCGGCGUGAGCACAUUGAAGGGUCCAAGAGUGACAGUUCAACCACCGCACACCUAUCCUGGGCAGGCUAUCAGGCGGUUAACCAGUACUAGGUGCCUUCACAUUUGCAGGGAACUGACAACUUCUGUACAUGCCAGGGGCAGUGGUACAGUGCGAAUGGUUGUAGAAAGGAUUUCAUAACAAAUCACAACAUAAGUGACCUGGUCCGCCUGGGAAUCUAACCCGGGUUGUCCGAUUCACAGUCCAACGCUCUACCGAUUGAGCUAACCGGGCGGAUUGCAAAUACAGGUUAUAUGUUUACACAUGUACAUGGAACUCGUCAGCUAAAGUCACAGCUUCCUGAUAAAGGGCAAUCCAUACAAGGGGGUCAACCCUCUCAGCUCGAUAUAUCUGCAUGACCAUCUGCGUUUGCACGAUUGCCUCCAACAGAUCCAUGUCCACCUAGAUGUAUAUGAGAUAUGUUUAUAUUAAGUUCAUGCAUAAAUUCACUGUUUCAUCGUGUAUGCAAAAUAAAAGAAAGCAGACAGAUACUUUUUAACUGAUGAUUUACUUUUAAUUCUAAAAUAUCAUACAUAAGUCUCUAGAUGCAACACGUUUUGUUCUGAGAAUAAUUUUCAAAUUUUUGAAGUUAUUAUCUAUGUUUUUGCUGUGUUUUUUUCCCAUUUUUGUUCAAUUGGUAACUGAAGUCGCAUGUAGUAAUAAGCACAAACUAUUACCGCUAAGUUCUGCUGUAAAACCUACUCGAUUGCUCAAAAUGUGCUCUGUUGUCACAAGAGUAACAAUAAACUGGAACUAUAGUAAAGCGUUGAGGUGAUCGGGGGAUUUGACGUCACCAUUUUCCUGAAGAUUUUCGAGCGCAUUGUCGACAACGCGGUAGGCAUUCUUGAAUGUACGAAGCGCAUCUGCCCUGCUCAUCCAACUUGUUUCACACAAGGUCUUAAACUUUUAUCAGCUUUCCAUCGCUUGUUUUGUAGCAACGUCUUCUGCCAGUUCAUCUGCAAAUGCUGUGAGGCGUUUUGCAGAGUAGUCAAACGCAAAUGCGAUAUCCUACACUGUAGACAUCGUGGUCCUGACGCAUGGAAGUUUGGAGCUUUGGACAAAUGACAGGUUUAGGCAAAGCGACUUACAAUGGAUGUAGUUAGCAAGUGGUAAUCAUUCACGGAUGAGCGCCUGAACACCAUAGUACUUGUCCGCCAUGUUUCUUGCGCCAUCAUAGCACUGGCCCCGAAUCUUCAAAAUAUCUAAGCCGGUGCCUUGUGCAAAAUAUACUCCCUUUAUUGACUUGCAAGUGACAAACCCUAAAGACUGUUCACGAACGACAUGCCUCUCCUCUACCUUGGAAAUAAAACGAACCCAAACAGAUUUUUUUCCUUUCUGUCUCCCACACAUACCUCGAUGGAAAUUUGAAAACACUGCCUAACUCCCACAUCUGUGAUAAAAGUUUGAAUUCAUCAUUCCACGAUCCAUCGGAAUCUCCAGGAUCGGGGUAAGGGGGAAACAUGUUGAAUGGCUUUCAAAAUAAACUCCCGCUUCGCAACUUAUACUUGUAAAGCCGAGUGAAACAGACGCUCAUUGAAAUUAUACGCUUGCCGGUUGCUGUAUAAAUAUUAUCGAAUCUAUUUGUUAAACGGUUCGACUGUCUUCAAAAAAAGGCACUAAAUUUUAAGAAAAAAUAUACUUAGUUAACCUUGAGAGUUAACUUGAAUAUAAAGUAGGCAACAGCUGUCACCCCCCUUACCUUAGUUUUUAUAGCAAAUUUGGACGUUUUGUAUUUUUCAUUUUUGGAAACGAAGUGUAGGUCCGGGCCUACCGUGCCUAUUGGAGCUACGCCGAUGAAUAAAAUUGCAGAUAGGCAUUCAUUAAGUACUAAGCUUAAUCAUUAAGAAUGUUAUUUUUCAUGGGUGUUUCAAGGUCCACCUACUGCCAGUCGUCCGAUACAAGAUCCCUGUGUCAGACUUUGCGUUUACGAUGUGUUAGCCAAUGAGGUUGUAUUCUCAAUAAGUUAGAAUAGAUGACCUUGGGUAACAUUUUAAUGAUUAAGACAUGCCUUUUUUUGUACACUCACUCCACCCAUUCUUAAACAUAAAAAUCUUACUUCAUGUCAUCUAUUGCCAAAAACAAAAAAGUUAAAAUAAGAUUGAGACAUAUGAUUUUCUAUAAACAUAUUUUCAUAAUCAGGCAUGUCGAGCUGUUCUAAUCAUCAUUGGCAUCAUACCUCCUGAAGAAGUUCCCAUUCAGUGAUUACAUCCUAAAGAACCUGUCCUUCCUGAGUCCUGAAACCAGAGAAAAGACAUCAGCUGAAGCAGUGGUCCAGCUUAGAAUGAGGGUAAUGCCCAACCUGAAUGUGAAGAAUCUGGAAGAAACUGUGGAGUCCCACUUCACCGUUUUGGAGGACCUGCCACCAUAUGGGGAAACAUCACCCCUUUGGAGGACAUCACAGUCACCACACAGGUCCUCCCUCUAGAGGAUCCCAUGGACAAACCAAGAGAGACCAGAUCCUAGAUACAACAAAGAACAUGGUACAACAAGGUCUUGGAUGCAUGGCUGUAGUUUGAUAUUGGCCUCAAAAGAAGAAACAGAAUGAUGUUUCAGUGAUCGAAAUUAACACAAGCCUGCAAGCCCUGUACUGCAAAGAGGCAUGGCCAAUGCUGUUGAUGUGGCAAAGGAGGUGUUGUCUUAGCGGCCAAAAGGCUUUCAAACCUUUAACAACAACUUGAGAAGAUCUUAAGAUGAACAAGUUAUUGCCUGUGGAUUGGUAAUCUUAGCAGAUACCUGCACCCUCCCUACCCCCUCCUACUUACUGUGUCAUCACAGACCUGUUCAGACCACUUGCUGCUGCUGUCGCGGCAAUUGUACCAUGUGACAUUAUUUGUUCAACCCCGACAGCUUCCAAGUGGGGACAGGACAACACAGAAGCAUGUAUUAUGGCCAACUCCGCUGCAGAAUAACCCUAGAUAAAACUACGCUGCAGAAUAACACUAGAUGAAACUGUGCUGCAGAAUAACCCUAGAUGAAAAUGCGCUGCAGAACAACGCUAAAUGAAACUGCGCUACAGAAUAAAGCUAGAUGAAACUGCGCUGGAAAGUUACGCUUGAUGAAACUGCGCUGCAGAAUAACCCUAGAUGAAACUGCGCUGCAGAAUAACCCUAGAUAAAACUGCG